CGAGCGGAAACGAUGGGAGCUUGCUCCCAGGCGUCCCCUUUGCGGAGGGGUGAGUAAUACUUAGGAAUCUACCUAGUAGUGGGGGAUAGCUCGGGGAAACUCGAAUUAAUACCGCAUACGUCCUACGGGAGAAAGGGGGCAGUUUACUGCUCUCGCUAUUAGAUGAGCCUAAGUCGGAUUAGCUAGUUGGUGGGGUAAAGGCCUACCAAGGCGACGAUCUGUAGCUGGUCUGAGAGGAUGAUCAGCCACACCGGGACUGAGACACGGCCCGGACUCCUACGGGAGGCAGCAGUGGGGAAUAUUGGACAAUGGGGGAAACCCUGAUCCAGCCAUGCCGCGUGUGUGAAGAAGGCCUUUUGGUUGUAAAGCACUUUAAGCAGUGAAGAAGACCUAACGGUUAAUACCCGUUAGCGAUGACAUUAGCUGCAGAAUAAGCACCGGCUAACUCUGUGCCAGCAGCCGCGGUAAUACAGGAGGGUGCAAGCGUUAAUCGGAAUUACUGGGCGUAAAGCGAGCGUAGGUGGCUUGAUAAGUCAGAUGUGAAAUCCCCGGGCUUAACCUGGGAACUGCAUCUGAUACUGUUAAGCUAGAGUAGGUGAGAGGGAAGUUAGAUUUCCUGGUGUAGCGGUGAAAUGCGUAGAGAUCUGGAGGAAUACCGAUGGCCAAAGGCAGCUUCCUGGCAUCCUACUGACACUGAGGCUUCGAAAGCG
rnacentral:rRNA from 1 species